GACGAACGCUGGCGGCGUGCCUAAUACAUGCAAGUAGAACGCUGAAGGAGGAGCUUGCUCUUCUGGAUGAGUUGCGAACGGGUGAGUAACGCGUAGGUAACCUGCCUGGUAGCGGGGGAUAACUAUUGGAAACGAUAGCUAAUACCGCAUAAGAGUAGAUGUUGCAUGACAUUUGCUUAAAAGGUGCAAUUGCAUCACUACCAGAUGGACCUGCGUUGUAUUAGCUAGUUGGUGGGGUAACGGCUCACCAAGGCGACGAUACAUAGCCGACCUGAGAGGGUGAUCGGCCACACUGGGACUGAGACACGGCCCAGACUCCUACGGGAGGCAGCAGUAGGGAAUCCUCGGCAAUGGACGGAAGUCUGACCGAGCAACGCCGCGUGAGUGAAGAAGGGUUUCGGAUCGUAAAGCUCUGUUGUAAGAGAAGAAAGAGUGUGAGAGUGGAAAGUUCACACUGUGACGGUAUCUGACCAGAAAGGGACGGCUAACUACGUG
rnacentral:rRNA from 1 species